rnacentral:tRNA from 1 species
GGUGGCGUAGCUCAGCUGGUUAGAGCAUGGCACUCAUAACGCCAAGGUCAGCAGUCCGAUCCUGCUCGCCACCA